AUUGAACGCUGGCGGCAGGCCUAACACAUGCAAGUCGAGCGGGGUUUUCGGACCUAGCGGCGGACGGGUGAGUAAUGCGUAGGAAGCUACCCGAUAGAGGGGGAUACCAGUUGGAAACGACUGUUAAUACCGCAUAAUGUCUACGGACCAAAGUGUGGGACCUUCGGGCCACAUGCUAUCGGAUGCGCCUACGUGGGAUUAGCUAGUUGGUGAGGUAAUGGCUCACCAAGGCGACGAUCCCUAGCUGGUUUGAGAGGAUGAUCAGCCACACUGGAACUGAGACACGGUCCAGACUCCUACGGGCGGCAGCAGUGGGGAAUAUUGGACAAUGGGCGCAAGCCUGAUCCAGCCAUGCCGCGUGUGUGAAGAAGGCCUUCGGGUUGUAAAGCACUUUCAGUAGGGAGGAAGGGUUAAGUGUUAAUAGUACUUAACUUUGACGUUACCUACAGAAGAAGCACCGGCUAACUCUGUGCCAGCAGCCGCCGUAACAC
rnacentral:rRNA from 1 species